rnacentral:rRNA from 1 species
CCCUUAGAUGUUCUGGGCUGCACGCGUGCUACACUGAUAUUGCCAAUAUGUCAUUCUUAUCCGAAAUGGAUUGGGUAAUCAAGUAAUGAAAUUUCAUGCUUGGAAUCGGUAAUUGCAAUUUUAUCGUGAACGAGGAAUUCCUAGUAAGCACUAGUCAUCAGCUAAUGUUGAUUAUGUCCCUGCCCUUUGUACACACCGCCCGUCGCUACUACUGAUUGGGUGUUCAAGUGAGAUGCUUAGACCCUUGUUGCAUGAUUCAUUAUUGUGCUCCGAAAGGAAAAAGUUUCAAGCUUGAGUGUCUAGAGGAAGUAAAAGUCGUAACA